GAGGAGCCUAGGUUCAGAGUAGCAUCGCACAGACCUCAGGCUGUGCAGUACAAAGGAAGGCUUCUUGGAUGUCAGCACUAUACUCGAGUGGGUCUUCUUGACCAGGGAGAGUACCCACCAGAGCCAACCUGUCCCCGUGCAAGAGUCACACACUGAAAACAAACACGUGAAGCCACCAGGAACUGCAAACAUUGAGUAGAAGCUAGAACUGCUCACAGCUGUAGAGGCCGGGGCAUCCCAGGCUUCGGCAACUAAGGCGUGGCAAAGGCGCAGCUCUUAGGUCUGAAAGUUACUUGUAAUUCCUCCGAGAUUUUCCUGCAUUCGCCAGUAUCACCUCAGCACAGCAGAUCUGAAAUCUGGUCUUCCCGGUUUAGGUGGUUCGUGUCCUCCACAGAUGACAUCAUCAAACUGAAUUCAGGGAGUUGGAGCAACUGUUGUGUUUGAACUAAAAAUGAGUCCUCCGCUUCACAAGGACACACCCAUGUCUUCUUCUGCCUCAAGUUUUCCAAAUAGCACACACAGCUGAACAGCUGAGCUCUACUGACCCAUCUUCAGAGGCAAAGCAGUUGAGCCAGUGCCAGGAGCCCCUGCCAGCCCUGUGCAGAUGCCAGGACACAGAGGCCAGACUCACCUGAGUCUCAAGAGUGCACAGUGGUAAAAACCAGGCAGGUGGAUGGAUGCCUGGACAAGGCAGGAAGUCACUGCUUGGCAGGGAAUUGGAGUACAAACGACAAAGAGAUCAGGUGAGAGAGAGAAAGCUGCUCCCGAAAUCGCAGGCCACUGAAAAUGAUCCCUGAGCCCAUGGGGAGAGCAAAGGAAGUGUGUGAUCUACUUAAAGGCAGAUCUAAAGUUAAUAUAGUAAUAUUUCCACACAGAGCUGAGAGUGUGACCCUUGUAACUGAGUUGCUAUUUAUAUCUCCUCAAGAACAUGCAACACUUCACAGUAGAAAACUAGAAACUGGGGUGGGGGUGGGGCAAGUUGCCCAGGAAGGGACAGGAGAGGCGUUCUGGGGAGUCAGUACACUUCACACCCUGACUGAAGCAUAGGUUACAACAGAUUACACGCAUGCCCAAACUCACAGGAUGAACAACACACUUAAGCUGUCUGCAUUUCAUUCUAGAAAUUUCACCUCAGGUAACAGGAAGUGCUCAGUCAUGAAAAGCAAGGAUUCCGUACUUACAGCUUAUGUUGAAAUACAGUUUAAAACAGAGCCAGCGCUGGCAUGGUGGUGCACACUUGUAAGCCUAGCGCUCAUGGGGCUGAACCAGGAAGGCUGUCAUGAGUUCAAGGCCUAUCUAAAUGAGUGCCAUACUUGGAAAGGCUCCAAAUCCCAACCAUUUUCCAAAGCUCAGCUCAGGCUCAGGCUCCCAUUGCUCUCUAAGCACCCUCAGUGCAGGAAGCUCUAAUCUGAAACAGCCAGAUAGGGAAAUCCCGCUGAGAAAGAGCCCAAGGGUUUCUGUAAGGUCUAAAACUGUACGAACCGACUCUGCCGGAGCUGCGGUAAAGGACUCUGUCUGCCCUUGGAGGUCUGGAACUCUGGAGGUUCCCUGCCAACUCAGCAAUCCAUCAAUGGCUCUAUCAAGCAGACCUGUAGCCUGUAACCCCUAGUCAUUAUUAAAACUGUCUGUGAGAGUUGUGGGGGGGGAUGGCUCACUGGGAAAAGUGCCUACUGGCAGACAUGAGGACCUGAGUCUGAUCUCUAGAACCCACAUAAAAAGCUGGGCAAGGUGGCACAUGUUUGUGAUUUCAGCCCUGGAGAAUGGAGUCACAAGGACCCCUGAGUCCCUCUGGCCAGCCAGCAUAGCUGAAAAUAAUGUGGAAAGACACUGGCGGUGUCCUUGACUGGCCCAAAGGUCAACACACAUGCGCACCCACACACAGAACGAAGCUCUGGUUCUCCUCUGUAAGACACUCCAAAUAGCUGCGGCUCCUUUAUGACUUUUUUAGUUAUCUUUUUUUCUAACUUUACAUUUCCCAGAAAGGAUGGUUGGAUUCAGUUUUUAGCACCGUGAAGCUGGCAGAGACCAGAGACUGCAAGGAAAACUGGCCUGAGGGCUGCUGCAGGAAGGUGGAGCCUCGGUGUGCCCCACCCCCUCCUCAGCCUGUCUCACACACACACACACACACACACACACACACACACACACACACGGUGGCCCGAGCUUUGCCUCCAUGACGCAGCACAAGGCUUAUUCUAGAGAGAACCAGAAGCUGUGGUGCCAAGCUAAAAGGAUGGAUUUAGAAAGCGCCACUGAACCAGACGCACGGCAGCCACCAGACAUCACCCGGAUUUAACUGCCCUAAAAUUAGUUGCAAAGCAGUUAUGGGGACCGAGUGAUUGCGUCAGAGCCCCUGGCUGGCCAGCUGCCAGCAUGAAACACACCCACCGCUUUCUCUAGCAGGGAAACAAUAUUUUGGCACACGGCCAGUUUCAGAGCCCGUCAAAUGCAAGCUUCGCUGUUAACGUUUUCUAAUUCAGUGACAAGGUGGACACAGUCUAUCCGGGCUGCAUCUGCGAGGGUGUUAUUUUCUUUGUUGAACACAUUUAUUCUUCGGAGAUUUUCAGAGCUGAAGAAAUGGCCUCUGAAGGACCAGCAACUCCCAGGCUGGGCUGCUAUUACAGGGCACCCAGCACCCCUGACUGAGAAACGCAGCUCCACCCUCAGCCUUGGCACCCCACUCUCAGUAAGCUAGCUGCCUCCACCACUCCCCAUACCCUCACCUUUCUUUACCCCCCCACCUUCUUUCUUCCUUCUCUUCAAUUUAUCUCUCUUGCCAUGACGUACUGAAAGCUGCCUUGACUUAAGGCAGUUACAGUGUUCAGUACACGACAGAGCACCACAGCUGGACCCAAGAGACCCAGGUUUGAAACAUUAAAAAACGCACAAGAUCCAGGAAGAGCACACUUCUCAUUAAACCACUGUGUCUUUAACAGCAAACAAAUCUCACUGGCCUCAUGAAAUUCCUAUGUAGGAGUUGAAGACACAGCUCAGUUGAUAAGAAGCUUACCGUGUAAGCAUGAGGCCUGAGAUGGAGCCUGUCACCUCAACACACAUACAGUAAGCUUUCCUCAGUGGUAUGUGCUCGUGGUCCCAGAGUUGGGGACGGGGCGACGGCCUAGCUGAAUCAAGUCCCAAACCAAGGAGAGAUCCUGUCCCAAAAAGCCCAAGGUGAGUGUUGCUUGUGGAAGGCUGUCCUCUGGCCUCCACAGGCCUGUGCACACACAGGCAUGCACAGGUGCUCCCCCGUGAGACAGGAGCAAGGAAGAAUAGCAGGAAAGCUUGCACACAGCUGUCUGAAACCGGCCUUGAUUCUCAUCCAGCUCUUCAUUCUCUUUACACGGCAAGCACAGCAGUCUCUUUCAUUCCUACCCAUCGGAACUUUCAAAAUAGAAAUCAGACCUGUGAUUCACAGAGAAGGCCUUAGAAUGGCUCUAAAUAAAACCUGGUAGCCAAUUGGAUGCCCCUACUACUUAUUUGCUGUGGCUCUGCUCAUAGUGUGGAGAGAGGACCAUGGCUCUCAGAUUCCACACAAAAGAGGAGCCACGACUCUGCUGCGGUUAUGGAUGAUGAUGGUUAUGAUGACGAGAGACUCCUGGUAGGCUCUAAGCGCAGCUGCUUGUCACAGGCUGGGGAUAUAGCUCAGGGGGGCAGUGCCUGCCUCACGUGCAGGAGGCCCCGAGUUCCACCCCCAGCACUGCAUAAACCUGGUCUAGCAGAGCAUGUCUGUAACCCCAACAUUCGGGAGAUUGAGUUCAAGACCAGCCUGGUCUAUAUGAGACCUUAUCUCAAAUAAAAGCAAAAACUGUAGGUAUAAUUAAUAAUAUUCCAACGGACUUUGCUAGUCAUCAAUGAAAAACACAUAAGCAAGGGAGCACGGCCUAUAAUCUGCAGACCAAAUUCUCAAACAUCCCCAUUUCUAGAAGGAAUCUUAAGGGUUGAACAGGCAAGGGCAACAGAGUGCUAGAAACUCAGAAUUCAUGUCCCUCCAGUAAGCCGUAUCAAGUAGCCCAAGCCAAGGCUUCCAAGAGAACUUAGCCUUCCCCUCAGCCUCCAACAGGACUAGGGCCACCCUGGGGGACCAAACUGACACUGGGAAAGGAAAAGACAGCCCACCAGCUCAUAGGAGGUGGCAAGUGUGCCGCCUUGCCAAACCUCAGUACUUUGGGCACAGUAUCAGCAGUCUCCCCAGAUCCUGCAGAGCCCUGCUAACCCCUCUGCAGGAACUCCUGCCUCCCACAGCUGCACCUACAUAGCUCAGUGGCAGCCACUUCCUGUGACCCUGGGAAAGAUGCAGGAGGAAGUAGGAAGGCCACUUAGAAUGAGUCACAAUGGAAUCCAUAACUUACUUCAAAAAAAAAAGUCAAGGCACAGAGAGCUCCUUCAUGUCCAAACCCACAACUACAAUCAUUUAACCACAAUGGUCAGGAACCACUCUUGUGGCACAAACUUCGGAAGCCCGGGGAACACAGCAGGGAGGUCCCCGCCCACAGGAUAAAGAUGCUCUAGGGAGGAGACACAGAGGCAAGUGCAAAAAAGUGACAUCAGGAGAGGUGCAAGCCGGAGCUGUACCCUGCUGAGGAGGACAGAGUGGGAGCACGGUAGGUAGCUGGAAGCCAUCUUUCUAUACUCCAGGCCUCCUGUAGCCUAAGCGCUGCCAGGCUACUUGCUGAACUUGUCCUUGUGACCAAACGCCAGGAAGAAGCAGCUUAGGGGAGGAUGGGCUUACUCUGGCUCCCACGGAAUGAGGAUAUGGACGCGCAGCAGUGGCUUGCUCGCAUCUCCAUGGCUCAGGAAACAGGAGCUCAGGCUGGUACUAAUGGCCAAACUGAAACUGUUCCUGUGGGAAACAAGGACAGUUGGGCAUGCAAAACAUUGUGCACACCCAGUGAUCUGCUGUGUGGGUCUCCACAGACUUCUGAGAGGUGUGGAGUGCCUGGUGCCCGAGUGGUUCGCACAGCUCUGCCUUCUCUGUGCUCUGGGGCGCGUUCUGAGUGUGGCACUGUGGAUUCGAGCGGUUAUUACCAUGGUUAUCAGCCAUAAAGCCAGGUCCCAGGAACCCACUUUCCAGUCAGGCCCCAUUUCCUAAAGGUUCUCAAAG